rnacentral:rRNA from 1 species
GAAAGCGGACUUCGGUCCGCGAGUAGAGUGGCAUACGGGUGAGUAACACGUGGGUAACCUGUCCGGAGGCGGGGGAUAACCCUUCGAAAGGAGGGCUAAUACCGCAUAACAUUCGCCGGGUUUCGGCCUGGCGAAUCAAAGCUUGCCUCUACUUGUAAGCAAGCACCACCGGAGGGGCCCGCGGCCCAUUAGCUUGUUGGUGAGGUAACGGCUCACCAAGGCGACGACGGGUAGCCGGCCUGAGAGGGCGAUCGGCCACACUGGAACUGAGACACGGUCCAGACUCCUACGGGAGGCAGCAGUGAGGAAUUUUGCGCAAUGGGGGAAACCCUGACGCAGCGACGCCGCGCGGAGGACGAAGGCCUUCGGGUCGUAAACUCCUGUCAAGUGGGACGAAUCCGAAGAGAUGAAUAAGCUUUUCGGUUGACGGUACCAUUGGAGGAAGCCCCGGCUAACUCCGUGCCAGCAGCCGCGGUAAUACGGGGGGGGCUAGCGUUGUUCGGAAUUAUUGGGCGUAAAGGGCGCGUAGGCGGCCUGUUAAGUCGGACGUGAAAUCCCGCGGCUCAACCGCGGAACUGCGUUCGAAACUGCCAGGCUUGAGUCCCGGAGAGGGUAGCGGAAUUCCCAGUGUAGCGGUGAAAUGCGUAGAUAUUGGGAGGAACACCAGUGGCGAAGGCGGUUACCUGGACGGGUACUGACGCUGAGGCGCGAAAGCGUGGGGAGCAAACAGGAUUAGAU